GUCUUUUUGAAUUUAAUUUAAGGUCUAAUCUGCCCACUGAUUAUAAUAAUUAAAUGGCCGCAGUAUUUUAACUGUGCAAAGGUAGCAUAAUCAUUAGUCUUUUAAUUGAGGGCUGGAAUGAAUGAUUGGACGAGAAAUAAUCUGUCUCAUAAAAAUUUUUUUUAAAAUUUUAUUUUUUAGUAAAAAAGCUGAAAUAAGUUUAAAAGACGAGAAGACCCUAUAGAUCUUUAUAUAAAUUUUAUAACUUAUUUAUUAGAUAAUUUAUAUAAUUAUAUUAAUUUAUAUUUUGUUGGGGUGACAUUGAAAUUUAAAAAACUUUCAAAUAUUAUUUAACAUUUAUUAAUGGUUUAUAUUGAUCCUGUAUUAUGGAUAUAAAGAUUAAGUUACCUUAGGGAUAACAGCGUAAUUAUUUCGGAGAGUUCUUAUUGAUGAAAUAGAUUGCGACCUCGAUGUUGGAUUAAGAUUAAUAAUAGGGGCAGUUUCUUAUUAUAUUAAGUCUGUUCGACUUUUAAAUUCUU
rnacentral:rRNA from 1 species